rnacentral:lncRNA from 1 species
CCAAAAGUAAAAAGCAUUUUAUUAACCUACAAUUUGUUUUUAACUAACGCACACAAAAGCAUUUUAAAUAAAUCACAAUAGAACUUAACCUUGGGAAAACUGAGUAUCAAUAUGCAGAUGCGAUCAAAAUAGGAUUUUAUGGAAAAAGGUGAGGACAGUUUCAUAAAACCUAAGGAAGAAUUUCAAGAGGACAGUUUGUACAUACAAAAAUAUGCCUGAGGCUGGGCACGGUGGCCCAUUCUUGUACUCCUAGCACUUUGGGAGGCUGAGGCGGGAGGAUUGCUUGAGCCCAGGAGUUUGAGACCAGCCUGAGCAACAUUGAGAGACCUCAUCUCUGCAAAAAAUAAACAAAAUUAGCUGGGUGUGGUGGUACAUGCCUGUAGUCCCAGCUACUCAGGAGACUUAAGUGGGAGGAUUGCUUGAGCCAGGGAAGUCGAGGUUGCAGUAGCCUGAGAUCACAGCACUGCACUCCAGCCUGCAUGAUAGAGUGAGACCCUGUCUCACAAAACAAACAAAAAUAUGCCUGAAAGGAUAGUUUUCAUACUGCUUACUACUUUACAGUUGAGUAGGCAUGUAUAUGUCCAACAGGCAUCUGAAAAUACACACUUAUUUGUGGACAAAAUUCUGUUAAUUAUCUAAUUGUGAAACAUGCAACAUAGUCCCAAUCAUGUCAAAGUCUCCAACGAAAAUUUAAAAUGUAUCUUAUUUGGAAGGACUACAAACUUUAAUAUUUCUGUACAAUAUUAUAAAACGAAACCCAGUAUGUGGCCUGAUUUAUAUAUAUAACCACAUGGAAUUCUAUACUGAAGCCCAACAAAACUUCCAUUACCCUCCACAUCCAUAAUUUAUCCUUCGCUCUUUCUGCCAAUCAAAGGUGUUGGACAAUGAUUUGAGGUCUUAUUCUGAACUUUUGAAUGAGAGGUGCCCCAUCAGCUGGACUUCUCCUGAGUGUUGAAAAGGGCAUCUUUGUAACUAUGACUCCUGAGAAGAUUCUGUUUUCAGUCUUAAAACAGGAAUGGGGGAAAAAUGCAGGCCUCGGGAAGUACAAAAAGGGGAAACCAAAGGAGACAAGGGAGUUACUGUAGAUUUUGCAGGGCUGAGGAAAGU